rnacentral:rRNA from 1 species
GACGAACGCUGGCGGCGUGCUUAACACAUGCAAGUCGAACGAUGACGACCGAGCUUGCUCGGUCUGAUUAGUGGCGAACGGGUGAGUAACACGUGAGCAACCUGCCCUUCACUCUGGGAUAACCUCGGGAAAUCGGGGCUAAUACCGGAUAUGAGCUCCUGUCGCAUGGCGGGUGUUGGAAAGUUUUUCGGUGAAGGAUGGGCUCGCGGCCUAUCAGUUUGUUGGUGAGGUAGUGGCUCACCAAGGCGAUGACGGGUAGCCGGCCUGAGAGGGCGACCGGCCACACUGGGACUGAGACACGGCCCAGACUCCUACGGGAGGCAGCAGUGGGGAAUAUUGCACAAUGGGCGAAAGCCUGAUGCAGCGACGCCGCGUGAGGGAUGACGGCCUUCGGGUUGUAAACCUCUUUCAGCAGGGAAGAAGCGAAAGUGACGGUACCUGCAGAAGAAACGCCGGCUAACUACGU